GACAUUGUGGUGUAGUGGUUUGAGCAUUGGAUUACUAUUCUGGAGACCAGGGUUCAAAUCCAUGCUCAGCCA